AGCCAAGAAGCCAUAGAGGGUAGUGGUUCAGAGCACAGACCACAGUCAGACUAUCUGGGUUCAAAUCCCAGCUUGGCUC
rnacentral:tRNA from 1 species